AUUGAACGCUGGCGGCAGGCCUAACACAUGCAAGUCGAGCGGGGUUUUCGGACCUAGCGGCGGACGGGUGAGCAAUGCGUAGGAAGCUGCCCGAUAGAGGGGGAUACCAGUUGGAAACGACUGUUAAUACCGCAUAAUGUCUACGGACCAAAGUGUGAACCUUCGGGCCACAUGCUAUCGGAUGCGCCUACGUGGGAUUAGCUAGUUGGUGAGGUAAUGGCUCACCAAGGCGACGAUCUCUAGCUGGUUUGAGAGGAUGAUCAGCCACACUGGAACUGAGACACGGUCCAGACUCCUACGGGAGGCAGCAGUGGGGAAUAUUGGACAAUGGGCGCAAGCCUGAUCCAGCCAUGCCGCGUGUGUGAAGAAGGCCUUCGGGUUGUAAAGCACUUUCAGCGAGGAGGAAGGGUGGUGUGUUAAUAGCGCAUCAUUUUGACGUUACUCGCAGAAGAAGCACCGGCUAACUCUGUGCCAGCAGCCGCGGUAACAC
rnacentral:rRNA from 1 species